rnacentral:misc_RNA from 1 species
CCUCCUUUCUGGAGACGCAGAGUAAGACCAGCCUUCACAGGCUUGGUCCGAAAGGCUCUCACAGGUCUACCCGCUCAAAUCACUCGAAACCUCAGUAUUCAUAUAAAAAGGCCUGGAACAAUGGUUUAGAUGUUCUCAGGUCAUGCUGUUUGACAACAGAGGUCGAGUGAAGUAAAAGCCUUAGGUGCGCCCUGGAUUAUUUGUCUGGUCCAGGUGCCGUAUCUACGUAAUUGUGAUGGCUUUUUGGUGUGACUGACAUGUAGCAAUGUCGGUCAAGCAAGUAAGUGCACAGUGGUGGAUGCCUAGGCACGAGUCGGCGAUGAAGGACGUGGCAAGCUGCGAUAAGCCUCGGGGAGCUGCAAGCGAGCAUAGAUCCGGGGAUUUCCGAAUGGGGA